UCCUCCGUAGAACCUGAAGACUUG
rnacentral:piRNA from 1 species